rnacentral:rRNA from 1 species
AUAGCGUAUAUUAAAGUUGUUGCAGUUAAAAAGCUCGUAGUUGAACCUUGGGCCUGGCUGGCCGGUCCGCCUCACCGCGUGCACUGGUCCGGCCGGGCCUUUCCUCCUGGGGAGCCGCAUGCCCUUCACUGGGUGUGUCGGGGAACCAGGACUUUUACUUUGAAAAAAUUAGAGUGUUCAAAGCAGGCCUAUGCUCGAAUACAUUAGCAUGGAAUAAUAGAAUAGGACGUGUGGUUCUAUUUUGUUGGUUUCUAGAGCCGCCGUAAUGAUUAAUAGGGAUAGUCGGGGGCAUCAGUAUUCAAUUGUCAGAGGUGAAAUUCUUGGAUUUAUUGAAGACUAACUACUG